AAAUCUUCAGAGGAACACGAGGGAGACGGAGCCGAGGCGCUCCGCGAUACCAGAGUAAUGUCAAUAACAAGGCUGGAAAGAAAGUAUCCCUGUGGAGCUGCCUCGAAGAAGGCUGCUAAUAUCACAUAUCAGUUAGAUGACCAAGUUCAGGGCCUGCACGACUGCUGCAGCUCAGCGCUGGAGCUUGGAUCAAUGGAAUACUGCUGGGGAUACGUUGGACCACGCCCACACACCGAUUAGACCCUCUGAUUGGAUAUCACGUGGAUGUCUUGACCACUGCCUUGGCUUUCAUGCAAAUUGACAAAGGAGUUUAUUCCCAAAAUCACUUUGAUCACCCGCCGGCAAUGUUGCUGCCUUUCCAGGACACAGCAAUUGAUUUGCACAGGAUCUCUCCCCACUUCACUCCACUCCGCUCCAGCCCCUGGGCGUCCUCAGCAUCAGAUGUCAUCCUGCCAGAGACAAAGCAUCAAGUCUCUCUGGACAUUGAUAGAUGGACUGUGAACUCUUGACCCAGUGAAAUGUAACAAGAAGAACUCGCAGCGCCGCAUGGAGUGUGUCAAAGGUCACAAUGUUAUGUUAACAACCUGCCUUGGCAUUGCAGCACUGAAUGACACACAGAGGUUUUUAUUCCUGCAUGUCACACAUUUGUGCGCACGCACAGCAAGGCAGGCUAGAGCAAAACAUAUCAACAAAACAGCCUUUUGAAUAUGAUAAAAAUAAACCCACUGUACCCCCUUGAUGUGUCAGUCACAAGUAAACAAAACGAUUGAAUAAUCACUGCUGGUCCUCCCCAUUUUUACAUCUGCCACAAAAUAUCAUCAUUAUUGUUACACCUGAGGAAAUUACAUGUAGGUUUUAGUAAAUAAAUAAAGUUUGUAUUGUUCUAAUUUAUAUAAAGUAUAAUUAUACAAAGGACUUAAAGCAGUCUUGUAACUGUAACGUACAUUUAGUGUGAAUGCAGCCGAAGGUCAAGCAACAGCAAACAGCAGUACAUCCAGCUCCCCAGCUACCUCCAGUGACACGCACCCUGCAGGUGAAGAAACACCAUAUUUUAAUUCAUAUUUAUAAUGACAUUAUUUUAAUCUGUAAAAAUAAA